CGAUUGCGAAGGCAGCUUGCUGGACUNUAACUGACGCUGAGGCACGAAAGCGUGGGGAUCAAACAGGAUUAGAUACCCUGGUANNCCACGCNNUAAACGAUGAAUGCUAGCUGUUAGCGAUAUACUGUUAGCGGCACAGAGAAAUCGUUAAGCAUUCCACCUGGGGAGUACGCCGGCAACGGUGAAACUCAAAGGAAUUGACGGGGGCCCGCACAAGCGGAGGAACAUGUGGUUUAAUUCGAUGAUACGCGAGGAACCUUACCUGGGCUUAAAUUGCAGUGGAAUAACGUGGAAACAUGUUAGCCUUCGGGCCGCUGUGAAGGUGCUGCAUGGUUGUCGUCAGCUCGUGCCGUGAGGUGUCGGCUUAAGUGCCAUAACGAGCGCAACCCUCAUCGAUAGUUACUAACAGGUUAAGCUGAGGACUCUAUCGAGACUGCCGACGUAAGUCGUGAGGAAGGUGGGGAUGACGUCAAAUCAGCACGGCCCUUACGUCCAGGGCUACACACGUGUUACAAUGGGGGGUACAAAGGGCAGCUACCUGGCGACAGGAUGCUAAUCUCAAAAACCUCUCUCAGUUCGGAUUGGAGUCUGCAACCCGACUCCAUGAAGCUGGAUUCGCUAGUAAUCGCGCAUCAGCCACGGCGCGGUGAAUACGUUCCCGGGCCUUGUACACACCGCCCGUCAAGCCAUGGGAGCCGGGGGGACCUGAAGUAUGCAACCGUAAGGAGCGUCCUAGGGUAAAACUGGUGACUGGGGCUAAGUCGUAACAAGGUAGCCU
rnacentral:rRNA from 1 species